rnacentral:rRNA from 1 species
UACAGAGGUCUCAAGCGUUGUUCGGAUUCAUUGGGCGUAAAGCGUGCGCAGGCGGUUUUGCAAGCCGGAUGUGAAAUCCCCGGGCUUAACCUGGGAAUGGCAUUUGGGACUGCAAGGCUGGAGUGCGGCAGAGGAGACUGGAAUUCCUGGUGUAGCAGUGAAAUGCGUAGAUAUCAGGAGGAACACCGAUGGCGAAGGCAGGUCUCUGGGCUGACACUGACGCUCAUGCACGAAAGCGUGGGGAGCAAACAGG